UACGUAGGGCGCAAGCGUUGUCCGGAAUUAUUGGGCGUAAAGAGCUCGUAGGCGGUUUGUCGCGUCUGCUGUGAAAACCUCAGGCUCAACCUGGGGCUUGCAGUGGGACGGUCGAGACUAGAGUGCGGUAGGGGUGACUGGAAUUCCUGGUGUAGCGGUGGAAUGCGCAGAUAUCAGGAGGAACACCGAUGGCGAAGGCAGGUCACUGGGCCGCAACUGACGCUGGAGGAGCGAAAGCAUGGGGAGCGAACAGGAUUAG
rnacentral:rRNA from 1 species